rnacentral:rRNA from 1 species
UACGGAGGAUGCAAGCGUUAUCCGGAAUGAUUGGGCGUAAAGCGUCCGCAGGUGGCAGUUCAAGUCUGCUGUCAAAGACCGGGGCUUAACUUCGGAAAGGCAGUGGAAACUGAACAGCUAGAGUAUGGUAGGGGCAGAGGGAAUUCCUGGUGUAGCGGUGGAAUGCGUAGAGAUCCGGAGGAAGACCGGUGGCGAAGGCGGCCUGCUGGGCAGUUACUGACACUGAGGCGCGACAGCGUGGGGAGCAAACAGG